rnacentral:rRNA from 1 species
UACGUAGGGUGCGAGCGUUGUCCGGAAUUAUUGGGCGUAAAGAGCUCGUAGGCGGUUUGUCACGUCGGCUGUGAAACCCUGGGCUCAACCCGGGCCCUGCAGCCGAUACGGGCUGACUAGAAUUCGGUAGGGGAGUCGUGGAAUUCCUGGUGUAGCGGUGAAAUGCGCAGAUAUCAGGAGGAACACCAAUAGCGAAGGCAGCUCGCUGGGACGUUACUGACGCUGAGGCGCGAAAGCAUGGGGAGCGAACAGG